CCCAUUUGCCUGAUUUUAUCAUGGAUGAUUCAUCCAUGGCUUUCACCACUGACCUCUCCCAGGGCCUGCCGAUAAUUUCAGGGACUCUUGGGAAUGCUCCUGUUUUAUUUGUGACCCCUGCCAGGAGCUAGUUUCUUCAGAGCCUUGGCCUGGCCCGGGAGCCCCGGGGUGGCACGCCUUGCAGGAGGGGGCAGCCAGGGACAGGGAGCAGCAGGAUUGCUAGCGGUGUGUUUCUGGUCGUGCAUCUCCAGACUUCUGCAUUUCUGUGGCAGCAGCCCAGCCCGAGGCUCAGGGUGAGGAGGCAUGCCUGGGCAUGUCUGGUGGGGCAGGCUGGUGAGGACGCCACUUGCAUGAAGACAGCAGGAUCCCUGGAGCCGAGACUGGACUCGGAGGCGUGAGAAUGACCUUUCCUGUCUGGCGAAAGCCUGUUCUUCCAAGAGCCAGUUCAGAGGGCACUACCCUGAGGAUGAAGCCUUUCCUGACUCUCCAGACACGGUUAAUGACUUCCUCUGCCUGCUUUGACCUCUAGAACCCAGCAGAAACCGUCUGCCAAGCCCUCCACCUUAUCACCUUCGUGGAUCGCGUCCUGCUGUGCUGGUGCUUGGCUCAGAGUCUUCUUCAUCCAUAUGGCUUCUGCAGGCCAAGGCUUUCCACGGCUGGUGCCUGCUGCAUCUCAGUUCCAGAAUUCCGGGCUGGACUUCUCCCUAAUCAAGAGUGGACUGUGGCAGACCUACUCUCUCUGCCUGGAAGGUUCACUACAAUAUGUGGGCACCUAGAUACAUCAUAGCAAAAAUGCAAGUUCCUAUAGCUCCAUAUCUAGAGUUCUUGGUGAAGUCUAACUUUAAUACUGGAAAACUUCAGGGCCCUGAACUUUGCAUGCACAUUUUGCUGGCGUGUGAUGUAUCAAAUCCUGGAAGUCACCACGCUAGGCGGCUUUUCCCCCCAGCUUGGACAAUUGACAGUCACAGAUGGGACAUGUGCCUGUGUGGCGAGGCUACUGGGCAAUUCUCAGAGUGUCUACUCUACACCUUUCUCUCUGUCUCACAAAGCACAAGGAAAUCUUCACACCUCAUUGAAAAUCCAAGCGAAUGAGCAUGAUGUGAAUAUAGGGGUAACUUGGAAUUUAAAGACCACAACUAAAAGAGAAGAGUAAAUCGUUAGCAAAGUUCAGUUAUUAGCAAUAAUUACAACAAAUUACUACUCAAUAGAACCUAAGACUUCGAUGCCACGCACCUGGAAGACGGCAUUGCAAUUUCGCGUGGCUGGUUUUAAAUGCAGAACAAUGGAAGCUGAUGACAUACUGACAGAGAUGCCACUGUUCUAUGGAAAAGGUCUUUGACAUCCUCGGGGCUUUACAUCAGGUGUAUCUGAAAUGCUGCUGCGUAGGUUUGCCUCACUGCAUGUGGCGGGGGGUGGGCGGGGGGGAGGCACAGAGAGGGAGGAGCCUCCUUUCUGUGAGCCAGGGGCUUCCCCCUCUGUACACACACAGAAGGAGCAUCUAUCGCAGUAGCUCCAAAUUGCAGUCUGGUCUCUGGGUCCCCUCAUCCCUGAUUGACACUCCCCUUGGCUCGCUGGUCUGCGCUGCGUGUCCUAUCAGGUCACAGCCCUACCCCAGGUUUUGAGGCUGAUCUUCAGGGUACCCUUAAAAUCUGUCUUCUGGCCACUACCCUGUUUAUAGACACAAGCCUUCAGCUUUCCGCUCAGCCUCACUAGCUACUCAUUAGCAGCUGUGUUUCUUUUUCAAAUAUAACCUUUAUGCUUGGGUCGUAAUGUGGAAAAGAUGCUGGCAAAUUGAAUUUUCGUAAAUCAAAUAAUUUUGAUUGCUCUGGGAGCUCAUUAUUUAAGAAAUCCUAUAGUGAGUUCUUUUGUAAAUUGAGUCAUCAGCCCUCUGUUUUAAAAAUUCAAAUUUUAAUAUAUUAUCUUGCCUGAGGGGGAUGAGUCCAUGCAUAUUAAAAAAUUAAAAGGAUGCAAAGAAAAGAUUGAGUCUUCAGUGCUCCCCCUCUAUAUUUAAACAGUGGUAUAUAAUCACAAUUAUCUAGCUCACAAGCAAUUACGCUAAGUAUUAAUGAAGGGACCCUAGUCAAAAACCACCCACGGGAAGCUUCUGCCCGAACGUCAGGGUUAAUGGCCCUGCCAUUGUUUUAAUGGAUUUUCAAUGAGGUGUAAAGAUGCCAGGCCAAGAAGGGUGAAGUUUUAUGAUGCAGCUAAACAAGCACGAUUAGCGUCUUGCCAUUAGUAUCUUGACCUCGUUUCUGUUUUCGUUUCUUUACAAUUCUGGUGAACUGAGUCCCUGGAGGCUUAUUUAUUAAUUUAUGUUUAACACAAUUCAUAGAGGCUUUGUUAACUCCAAGUACAGCUCUCAGGGUGUUAAUAAAGCUCCCUCCCUAGGGCUGUUUCAGUGGAGAGCCUGAGGUCCAUGGACUCUAAUGACCCGCCCAUUUCUGCUCUCCAUCAUUUCUUUCCAGGCGCUCUGGCCCUCUAGAUGCCCAGCCACCCAGCCUUGUCAUCUGGAGUGACCAGACCCUCUCUGGGAGGUGUGUGGCUGGUGGUUACGAACUCAGCCUCAAACCAAACCAUGUGGGUUUAUUUCCUGCCUUGACCAGCUCUGAGUCCACAUCCCUGAGCCCAGACCCUGUGCUAAACUUGCCUUGACUCCGCCCCUUGCACUUCUGGGGACUCAAAUUUUGUUCCUGAGCUCUAUUUCCUUGCUGAAUCCCCUCUCUCAGAAAGCCUGCCUGAACCCCUUAUUUCUUGUUUAGAAAAUUUGUCUCCUAACCUAGGAGUUGGCAAACCAUGGCCUGUGAGCCAUAUCUGGCCCACCGCCUGUUCUUGUAAAUAAAGUUUUAUUGCGACACAGCCAUUCUCAUGCAUUUACACAUGGUCUGUGGCUGCUUUCCUGGCACAACAGCAGCUGAGUAGUUGUGACAGAGGAAAUAUGGCCCUCCAGUCUAAAACAUUCACUAUCUGGCCCUUGACUGAAAAAGUUUAGUGUUCCUUGUCAGUGUGGGUUGAAUUAUGUCCUCUGAAAAAGAUGUGUUGAAUCUCCAGUACCUCAGCAUGUGGCCUUGUUUGGAAAUAGCAUUGUUAUAGAAGUAAUCACAUUAAAAUGAGGUCAUGAGGGUGAGCCCAAAUCCGAUAUGACUACUGUCCCUAUAAAAAUGGGAAAUUUGGACACAGAGUGUAUUAGCUAUGUUUUCUUAUUUUCUGCAUUUUUGAUGCUCUGGCAUCUGGGGCUUUGGUGACUGGAGUGGGACUGCCCCUCCCAGGGCUAGCCAGUCCCUAGAGAUAGCAAAUGACUUGCACAGAACCACGCCCUUCAUGCAUCCUCACCCAUCUGGGGCCCAUUCUCCAAACCACCUCCUCUGUCUGGCUCUUACGCUCCAGGAGGCAAUGGCAAUAUUCCUAAUCACCCAAGGGCAGUAUGGGACCACUAGGAGCACCCCCACAGCCCAGAGCCUGCUGACAUUAUUCAACCCAUCCAAUCCGAAACCUGCUCAGCUUGCGCACCUUGUUUUCCUCCUUCCUUCCCAUGAAAACCACAAUAAGGACUCCUGCCCACACUUUCUCCUCGCUCCUUCUGCCUCUUCAUCAGCGCUGCUGCUUCCCUGUGUGGCCCUGCGUGGCAUGCUGUGCCCCCUCCUCGUGGGAACUAUGAGUAACAAACUAUCUUUUCAAAGACAAUCGUCUCCUGAUCUGUUGGUCUCACCAUACCUGAAUAAAACCAAAAUCACAGACACAUUUCAAAACACAGAGACAGAGACACUCAGAGGGAAAGUAACAUAAAGACAUAGAGAAAGCGCCAUGUGAAGACGGAAGAGUGAAGUGAUGUAUCUGUAAGCCAAAGAACACUCAAGGCUACCAGAAGCUGGAAGAAAAGCGUGGAACAGUUCCUUCCCUAGCACCUUCAGAGGGAGCACGGCCCUGCCAACACCUUGAUUUUGGACUUCUGGCCUCUGGAAUGUGAGACAAUAAAUUUCUGUUGUUUGAAGCCACUAAGUUUGUAGUAUUUUGUUAUGGCAGCCUAGGAGGCCAAUACACCACCUAACCAAUUAUUUUGUUUUGUUUUCUUUAUUUCUCGUUGUUCUCCUAUUGACACUUUUGUAUGGUGUCUUACUGUCAUUUCAUGGUGACCCUCACACACAUUAUUGCAUUUGGGUCUUGUGAGGUAGGUAGGCCAAUGGGCAGCCCGUUUAACCCAAGACCGAGGCUCAGAGAUUUCAGGGCACUUGCACAAGUUCACCCCACAAGGCAGUAAAUUGGGAAAAAAACUAGUUUCUACUGAGGGCUCGUUAUGUGCUUUCCUCACAUUGUCUCAGGACACCUAUACAACCGACCUGAGGGUUAGUUGCUGAGCAAUUAUACUAAUAAUCAGACAACCAUCAAUGUGAAAAGGAU
rnacentral:lncRNA from 1 species